GACAAGUUGGUUUGAUUUCAUCAUGGAGAUGUCUCCCAAAGCAGGUAGCUAGGAAAUUGGUAGUUGGUUUUCUUUCUGGGACUGCCUGCUCUGUGCAUUCAAAACCACAGCAGGAAAGAAUAAGAGCCAGCAGCUGAAGGAUCAGGAAAGAAGGUCCUAGCUUAAUCUUUAGCAGGAGAAAAGAGAAAUGGUUAAAUAAUUAGAGAAAUAUUUGACUGAGGGGAAAUAUACUAUGACUGGAGAGCAGAAGGAAACAUAUCCUUUAUUUGAAAGUGUUGACAGCUAAACUCAUCUACUCUUCUACUACUAUGUCAUAGCCUUCCAGCCACAAGUGUUAUCCUUGCUAGGAACUACAGACUGGAGGGGCCUAGCUCAGAGUCUGUCCUGUUUAAUUGCAAUGCCCCACCAGAUAUCAGGUUCUGACUACAAACAAGCCCUAGUGUCAGGGGAGAUGGGGGCUAAAAGUGCAGAGUGGCUGCAGCAGCAGAGGAUUUUCUGUUAGGCAGCCAAAUUGGCUGAAAGUAUCUCAGGCUUCACUUACCUGGCAGAGCAGCAAAAGGUGCAUCCUAAUAAUUUCCUUGGCAGCUCAGCCUAUGCCAGAGGUGUGAGCUGCAGCUGCUGGUGGUCUGUGCUCAUUGCUGACAGCAAGCUGCCCUCUGCCUGCAAGUGAGACACAAGAUUGUGCUUGCCUAUCGCCUUCACAUCCCUAUGAGCAAAAAACUAUUUCUGAGACUUGUUCUGUUCUGCAGUUUCUAGUAGUUAUGUCCAUCCCACGUGGCAUCAUUUGCUCUGUUCUCCAGAUGUGCCAAAAGAGGGACAACUCAAUAACUCUGUUGUAGCCCACAUGGAAAUCUAAGGGUGCAGCAUCUGAGCAUCCACCUGACAGCAGGAUGAGUUGAGGCCCAGCUGGUUCCUCCUGAGCGACUGCAAAGACUUCUGUUUCACACAAUGUAUUUUCUAUUCUGGCUGUAUGUUGAAGCUGUAUUAAAAGCCUGUUCACUUAUCUGUGUUGGCUGGUACUUUGUUUGAUGAGGGUGAGGGACUAGUUGAAGCUGUAUACACCCUGCAGAUUGCUGAAUGUGAAAAAAAAAAAAAUGUAGCAAGUUAAAUGCUUCUUGUCCACUAAUUCCCAGUCUUUGUCCUGUUGAGAGGGCAUGCUAAGCCUGUCCCAGGGAAGUUAUCUGUGCACAGAAAACAAAUUUAUGAAAUUUAUUUAUAUAAAUUAUCUCUCUCAGCAGACAGCAUUCAAUUUAUUGCACUAUAGCACAUCUGCAGUACAGAGCUACAAGACAUCUUAAGAGUUUUGUAUUAUUCAAUGUAGCACUUUAGACCAGGCUCAAGAGGCACUCUAAAGGGAAGGGGAAAGGGUGCAGGAAAGCAGCAAGCAGCCACCACUGUCAUUGAGAUGUUUCUUGUCAUUAGCUGGCCUGUUUGAGGCAGAAGCUAAUGGUGUGGACAGCUUCCAUCUGCCUUGGUCUCCAGGUGAUUAGGAGGCAUCCCCCCUAGGCAGCCAGAGUCAGUGCUGGUA